GGGGCAACGGUAUUGCCUCAGUAGCGGCGAGUGAAGCGGCAAGAGCUCAGAUUUGAAAUCGUGCUUUGCGGCACGAGUUGUAGAUUGCAGGUUGGAGUCUGUGUGGAAGGCGGUGUCCAAGUCCCUUGGAACAGGGCGCCCAGGAGGGUGAGAGCCCCGUGGGAUGCCGGCGGAAGCAGUGAGGCCCUUCUGACGAGUCGAGUUGUUUGGGAAU
rnacentral:rRNA from 1 species